AAAUAUAUGUAUGUAUAAAUAUAUAUGUGUGUGUGUAUCCUUAAAAUUUGUAGCCAGGGACUAUCUGUAUAAGAAUCUUUUCAUUGAUAGAGAUUGAUUGACAAGAGUUCAAGAGCCCUUGAAAGAAGAGAGAUUUUGAUCUUCUGGAUUCCAGCUUCGAGGGAGAGAAGAUACCUGGUUCCUAAUUUGUCUUCGAAGGAAGGUCCCUGCAGAGAAAGAGAGACUCUGGAAAGAAGCCAACAGGAAUUGGGUGUAUAAAGACAAACUGAACCAUUGCUGUUCUCAAGAUGUUUACAUUCUAAUGGUGCCAUCUGAGUCCAAUGGCCAGAAUAGAGAUCAGGAUGAUUGGAGGUGACCCUGGAUGCAGUGGGAGACCUUGCCUUUUUAAGCUGAGG